AGGCGGGAUACCAAAGAAACAUCAGAGAGCAACUGAGGACAGAAGGAGACGAGUUGGGACACUUUUUUGGGUUCAUGAAAGACAGAUGAACAGGAACAUGGGAAUGAUGGAUGAACGUGCAGACCAGAGUGAAGAGGACAAGUCUUCCUCCAUAGGAUCCACUCAUUUUUAAAGAAGAAUAUUCACACACAAGCAUAAAAAGACUGCAGAUGCUUUUGAGAAGAAUCAGGAGGAUGAAUAGCCUUUGCUUCAAAGGACUGUGGAGAUGGAGACUUCGGUCUCUUCUCUUCAUCUGUUUGCUGCUGCUGGCAGCUGCUCCACCUUCAGCCCUUGGCUAUUUCCUGGGAGACACUAAGGCAGUAUUAAAUGGCUGCAAAGACCACUGGACCCUGCAGGACAGGGCCGCCAUGCCGCAGCUUUACCAGAUGACCGUAUGUGUGGACGUUCGUGUGGUUGUUCCAGGACACUGGGUUGCCUUCUCUUACAGCUCGGUCCACGCACCCUGGCCUGAGUUUGGUCUGGAGGGAGACGAGCACGCAAUAUAUGUGCGAUUUCUAAGAGUCCGACACCAAUUUCCUCUGCAGCUCUCCCUGUUCUAUUGGCACCAGGUGUGUCUGAGGAGAGACGUACUGGGCAACACUUUCAGCCUGGAGGUUGAUGGGAAAAUGGUGUCAACGAGGACGGUCAUUGCUAACGCCAUCCCUCCCUACGGCUCCCUGUGGCUGGGCUGUCGUCCCAGAGAGCAACCCCCAACGGGCAAACUCGGACAGGUGGAGCUGUACUUGUUCCGCAUGUGGCCAGACCUGGGUUACCAUUGGUUCUGUGAGGAUGGCACUGUGAUUGGCUGGGAGUCCCAUUAUUGGGGGGUGACCAGUCACAAAGCUAUCCAGAGAGACCCCUACCUCCUCUGUGCCUUGAAAUGGUGGAGACGUCGGAUUCGUGUUUACAGGAAUACUAAUGAUGCUACUACACGUGGAUUGAGACGGUCGUUGCUGCCUUCACCUGACAUUCCAUCUUUAAUCCCGUCCUCUAACACCAGUCCGGCCAAUCACAUCUCAGCAAGCACCCAGACAUCACCAACCACAACUCUGCCUGCACAAAUCACAUCUGGAACAUCAUUCUCAUCAGCAUCUCCACUGUCAGGCUGUAACGUCAGCCAACUCUGCUCCAAUACAAGUGCUUACUACUGGAUGCCCAUAAAUGUGGAGGCCGAAGACGGCAACAAGACUGAACAAGAUGUCCGCAAUUUGGUGUCAGAAGCGUUUGUUUGUCACACUGACG
ensembl:lncRNA